rnacentral:rRNA from 1 species
CCUGAGUAUCCCAAGGCGCGUGAGAGAACACUGGUUAAGGAACUCGGCAAAUUGACACCGUAACUUCGGGAGAAGGUGUGCCCUUUGUUGUGAAGUCCGUACGGAUGGAGCGACGGGGGGUUGCAGAGAAACGGGGGUUGCGACUGUUUACUAAAAACACAGACUCUGCGAACACGCAAGUGGACGUAUAGGGUCUGACGCCUGCCCGGUGCUGGAAGGUUAAGGGGAGUUGUCAGCGAAAGCGGAGCAGCGAACCGAAGCCCCAGUAAACGGCGGCCGUAACCAUAACGGUCCUAAGGUAGCGAAAUUCCUUGUCGGGUAAGUUCCGACCUGCACGAAUGGCGUAACGACAUCCCCACUGUCUCAACCAGUGACUCAGCGAAAUUGUAAUCGCGGUGAAGAUACCGUGUACCCGCGGCAAGACGGAAAGACCCCAUGAACCUUUACUGCAACUUGACAGUGAAGCUCGGGACAGAUUGCGUAGGAUAGGUGGGAGGCUGUGAAGUCGGGAUUCUGGUCUCGGCGGAGCCAACGUUGAAAUACCACCCUGUUUGUUCUGGGCUUCUAACCCAGGCCUCUAAGCGAGGUCGGGGACACUGUCUGGUGGGCAGUUUGACUGGGGCGGUCGCCUCCUAAAAAGUAACGGAGGCGCGCGAAGGUUCCCUCAGGCUGAUUGGAAACCAGCCGUAGAGUGUAAUGGCACAAGGGAGCUUGACUGUGAGACCGACAGGUCGAGCAGGUGCGAAAGCAGGUCAUAGUGAUCCGGCAGUUCUGCAUGGAAGGGCUGUCGCUCAUCGGACAAAAGGUACUCUGGGGAUAACAGGCUGAUCGCGCCUGAGAGUUCAUAUCGGCGGCGCGGUUUGGCACCUCGAUGUCGGCUCAUCGCAUCCCGGGGCUGGAGCAGGUCCCAAGGGUUUGGCUGUUCGCCAAUUAAAGCGGUACGCGAGCUGGGUUUAGAACGUCGUGAGACAGUUCGGUCCCUAUCUGCCGUGGGCGGAGGAUACUUGAGAGGGUCUAACCAUAGUACGAGAGGACCUGGUUGGACGUACCUCUGGUGAUCCGGUUGUUCCGCCGGGAGCAUCGCCGGGUAGCUAUGUACGGAACGGAUAACCACUGAAAGCAUCUAAGUGGGAAGCCGGCCUCAAGAUGAGGUAUCCCGGGGCGUAAGCCCCCUGAAGGCCCCUCGAAGACUACGAGGUAAUAGGCUGGGUGUGGAAGCGCAGUAAUGCGUGGAGCUAACCAGUACUAAUCGGCCGUGAGGCUUGACC